rnacentral:rRNA from 1 species
AUUGAACGCUGGCGGCAUGCCUUACACAUGCAAGUCGAACGGCAGCACGGGGGCAACCCUGGUGGCGAGUGGCGAACGGGUGAGUAAUAUAUCGGAACGUGCCCAAGAGUGGGGGAUAGCCCGGCGAAAGCCGGAUUAAUACCGCAUACGAUCUAUGGAUGAAAGCGGGGGAUCGCAAGACCUCGCGCUCCUGGAGCGGCCGAUAUCUGAUUAGCUAGUUGGC